CCUACGGGGGGCAGCAGUGAGGAAUAUUGGUCAAUGGCCGGAAGGCUGAACCAGCCAUGCCGCGUGAAGGUCAGUGCCCUUUGGGCGUUAAACUUCUUUUGUGCGGGAGCAAUAAUGGUCACGUGUGGCCAGACGAGAGUACCGUACGAAUAAGCAUCGGCUAACUCCGUGCCAGCCGCCGCGGUAAUACGGGGGAUGCAAGCGUUAUCCGGAGUUAUGGGGUUUAAAGGGUGCGUAGGCUGUGAGGUAAGUCAGCGGUGAAAUGCCCCCGCUCAACGGGGUGAAGUGCCAUUGAUACUGCCUUGCUGGAAUGCAGAUGCCGUGGGAGGAAUGUGUGGUGUAGCGGUGAAAUGCAUAGAUAUCACACAGAACACCGAUUGCGAAGGCAUCUCACGAAUCCGCGAUUGACGCUGAUGCACGAAAGCGUGGGUAUCAAACAGGAUUAGAUACCCCGGUAGUC
rnacentral:rRNA from 1 species